rnacentral:rRNA from 1 species
AACGUAGGAGCCAAGCGUUAUCCGAAUUCACUGGGCGUAAAGCGCGUGCAGGCGGUCUGGUAAGUUGGAUGUGAAAUCUCCCGGCUCAACUAGGAGAGGACGUUCAAUACUGUCAGACUAGAGGACGGCAGAGGGAGGUGGAAUUCCCGGUGUAGUGGUGAAAUGCGUAGAUAUCGGGAGGAACACCAGUGGCGAAAGCGGCCUCCUGGGCCGUUCCUGACGCUCAGAUGCGAAAGCUAGGGGAGCGAACGGGAUUAGAAACCCCGGUAGUCCUAGCCGUAAACGAUGUAGACUUGGCGUGGGUGGUGUAAAAACCAUCGGUGCCGAAGCUAACGCGAUAAGUCUACCGCCUGGGGACUACGGCCGCAAGGUUA